rnacentral:misc_RNA from 1 species
GCCAUAUCUAUGAACAAAUGUCGUGCAAAUUCUUUAAAAACAAACAAAUGUCAAGCAAUUGACGCCAAACGUGCAGACUUUACAGCUGGUGUUGGAAAAAGAUAGAUCAGAGCUUAGCCGAAUCCGGUGGAUGCCGUACUCUCUUGUUUUUUUCGUUUACACUUACGUGGGACCCUUAAUGCAAUCGAAUAUUACGGCUGACCCAUCUGUCCCUUUCUCCCUUAGCUGUCUCCUAUCACAAUUUAUGGAGCCCUUAUGUCUCCGGCUAAUUAUGCCUCCUAUG